CUGCCAAGCGCCGCCGCCCGUACCAUCUGCCGGCGCCGCGUCUCCUUCUCUCAAAGAUGGAUAAGAGGACCAAGAUUGUAACUUGUGCUACUGCUGCAUA